rnacentral:lncRNA from 1 species
AGGAGAGGCAGGAGGGGGGCGGGAAGGAGCUGGAGAGCGAGCUGCGGCGCGUGGAGGCCGUGCUGCGGAGGAUGGAGGCAGGCGAGAGGCUGGUGGAGAAGAUGGGCCUCUAUGCCACGGAGCAGGAGGUGAUGGACAUGCAGCCCUUCGUCAAGGAUGCGCUGGAGGAGCUGCGGAGGCAGCGCCCGGCGGCAGAUGGGGAGCUGGUGCUGCAUGAGGACUUUGCCGAGUGCCGUGCCAGGCUGCAGGCACUGGCUGAGCGCAUCGAGGGGCUGCAAGAAGCUGCCCCUGCUCCAGCCACCACAAAAAACUCCCACCAGGUCCCAUUGAUCUCCACCCCUGCCAAGAGGAAGAAAGAUGAAAGCACCACCACGCUGCAAUUUCCUGCAAAGGUGAUAAAGGUUGAGAAAGAUGACGAUGAGUGGAGCACAUCAGUGGUACCACAGGAACCAAACUGCUUGCCCCAACCCCAGACCAGCUUUUCUGCACCCACCAUGGCUGCCAGCAGGGAAGGCUGCCUGCUGA